CAUCAUAAUUUUUAUGGAGAGUUUGAUCCUGGCUCAGGAUGAACGCUGGCGGCGUGCCUAAUACAUGCAAGUCGAGCGAACGGACGAGAAAAGCUUGCUUCUCUGAUGUUAGCGGCGGACGGGUGAGUAACACGUGGAUAACCUACCUAUAAGACUGGGAUAACUUCGGGAAACCGGAGCUAAUACCGGAUAAUAUUUUGAACCGCAUGGUUCAAAAGUGAAAGACGGUCUUGCUGUCACUUAUAGAUGGAUCCGCGCUGCAUUAGCUAGUUGGUAAGGUAACGGCUUACCAAGGCAACGAUGCAUAGCCGACCUGAGAGGGUGAUCGGCCACACUGGAACUGAGACACGGUCCAGACUCCUACGGGAGGCAGCAGUAGGGAAUCUUCCGCAAUGGGCGAAAGCCUGACGGAGCAACGCCGCGUGAGUGAUGAAGGUCUUCGGAUCGUAAAACUCUGUUAUUAGGGAAGAACAUAUGUGUAAGUAACUGUGCACAUCUUGACGGUACCUAAUCAGAAAGCCACGGCUAACUACGUGCCAGCAGCCGCGGUAAUACGUAGGUGGCAAGCGUUAUCCGGAAUUAUUGGGCGUAAAGCGCGCGUAGGCGGUUUUUUAAGUCUGAUGUGAAAGCCCACGGCUCAACCGUGGAGGGUCAUUGGAAACUGGAAAACUUGAGUGCAGAAGAGGAAAGUGGAAUUCCAUGUGUAGCGGUGAAAUGCGCAGAGAUAUGGAGGAACACCAGUGGCGAAGGCGACUUUCUGGUCUGUAACUGACGCUGAUGUGCGAAAGCGUGGGGAUCAAACAGGAUUAGAUACCCUGGUAGUCCACGCCGUAAACGAUGAGUGCUAAGUGUUAGGGGGUUUCCGCCCCUUAGUGCUGCAGCUAACGCAUUAAGCACUCCGCCUGGGGAGUACGACCGCAAGGUUGAAACUCAAAGGAAUUGACGGGGACCCGCACAAGCGGUGGAGCAUGUGGUUUAAUUCGAAGCAACGCGAAGAACCUUACCAAAUCUUGACAUCCUUUGACAACUCUAGAGAUAGAGCCUUCCCCUUCGGGGGACAAAGUGACAGGUGGUGCAUGGUUGUCGUCAGCUCGUGUCGUGAGAUGUUGGGUUAAGUCCCGCAACGAGCGCAACCCUUAAGCUUAGUUGCCAUCAUUAAGUUGGGCACUCUAAGUUGACUGCCGGUGACAAACCGGAGGAAGGUGGGGAUGACGUCAAAUCAUCAUGCCCCUUAUGAUUUGGGCUACACACGUGCUACAAUGGACAAUACAAAGGGCAGCGAAACCGCGAGGUCAAGCAAAUCCCAUAAAGUUGUUCUCAGUUCGGAUUGUAGUCUGCAACUCGACUACAUGAAGCUGGAAUCGCUAGUAAUCGUAGAUCAGCAUGCUACGGUGAAUACGUUCCCGGGUCUUGUACACACCGCCCGUCACACCACGAGAGUUUGUAACACCCGAAGCCGGUGGAGUAACCUUUUAGGAGCUAGCCGUCGAAGGUGGGACAAAUGAUUGGGGUGAAGUCGUAACAAGGUAGCCGUAUCGGAAGGUGCGGCUGGAUCACCUCCUUUCUA
rnacentral:rRNA from 1 species